AAGUCGUAACCUGCGGAAGGAUCAUUGUUGAACAGAUUUUGAUUCAGGGACCUCAGUUUAUUGGGCUUUGAUUGAAGCGAUCGUUGCAAGCGACCUGGUUUCCCUCGUGUCUGAAAGUGGCAUUGUAUGCGAAAGGAUAACGCCAUCGAUCACUAGAGGCCGAACACCCUCGGCCCCCAUAUUAACCCCACUACCAAUACUCGCCUCGUAGGAAACUGCUAGGCAACAAAACGAACAACUGUUAACAAUGGAUAUCUUGGUUCUC
rnacentral:misc_RNA from 1 species